rnacentral:lncRNA from 1 species
GGCACCUGGUGCGCAACACUGGCCCUGCAGGGAGCAUUGCUAAACACAUGGUCGCUCAGUGUGUCUCACCAAAGGGGCCUCUGGCGUGCUCAAGGACAUACUUCUUUGGAGCUACUCAUGUUCCUUACCUGGGUGAUGAUGAGAAGCUGCCCAGGACAACUGAGCAAAUUAGGCUCUUAUCCCAGGUAUAUGCUGCUGUUACUGAGGCUGUUUUGGCUGCCAUUGCAUGCUAUGCUAAAACUUGCAGUCUGGCAAAGGUAAUUUAAAUACCAUAUUUCUGAUUUGGUAGUCAUCAGUUAACAUAAAUCAUCCUAACCGUUUUGUCAUUCGGAUGGCAUGCAGUACUCACCGCUGUGUGACUUAGGGCCUUGGCA